GCCCCAGAUACCAGCCAAGGAGGCUGGAAGGCCAACCAAGCUCCAACCACUGGGCGUCCCAUCGCAGCGUGGCUUUACUGCUAACGUUGGCAUUGCUGUUUGUGCCAGGGGUUCUGUUCAAAACCAAGCUCUUAGAAGAAUUUGGAGGAAAUUAUGACUGCAACCAUGUCUUUAAGCAGCUAACCCUGGAGAGAGAAUGGACCAAGCUAAACAUUAACCAUUGCUGCUGGUAGGCCUCUGACAGCACAAGGUUGUGAGCCUGUCUUUCAGAAACCAGCUAGCUGGGUUCAAAACCAAGCCCAUCAUGUAGAAGUUAUGUGACCUUGAAGAAGUUAAUUAGACUCUCUGAACCUUUGGUUCUUUAUCCACCAAUAAAAAUAAUCUCACCUACCUCCCAGGGUUGUAGGUCCAAGUGUAUAAUGUACAAAUGAAUAAAUUAAGACAGUCUC
rnacentral:antisense_RNA from 1 species